rnacentral:tRNA from 1 species
AAGAAAUAAGGUUGGGGCUGCUAACCACGACUCGGGGAUUUAAUACUCCAUUUCUUU